GGCGAAAGCCUGACGCAGCGACGCCGCGUGAGGGAUGAAGGCCUUCGGGUCGUAAACCUCUGUCAGGAGGGAAGAACCGCCAUGGUGCUAAUCAGCCAUGGUCUGACGGUACCUCCAAAGGAAGCACCGGCUAACUCCGUGCCAGCAGCCGCGGUAAUACGGAGGGUGCAAGCGUUACUCGGAAUCACUGGGCGUAAAGAGCACGUAGGCGGCCUUGCAAGUCAGAUGUGAAAUCCAACGGCUUAACCGUUGAACUGCAUUUGAAACUGCAAGGCUAGAGUAUGGGAGAGGUAGGUGGAAUUCUCGGUGUAGGGGUAAAAUCCGUAGAGAUCGAGAGGAAUACUCAUUGCGAAGGCGACCUGCUGGAACAUUACUGACGCUGAGGUGCGAAAGCGUGGGGAGCAAACA
rnacentral:rRNA from 1 species